GCUUCCAUGGCUCAGUUGGUUAGAGCGCAGGUCUCAUAGUUUCACACUGUGAUCGUCAUCUCGACGAGUAAUCCUGAGGUCGUGAGUUCGACCCUCACUGGGAGCA